UUGGUGUGGGGAGUAGUCUGUGGAGCUGCUGCUUCUGGAAACUUCCAUUGGAACAUUGAAGAUGUUUCUAAAUCUAUUGUUUGCAUGAUUAUGUCGGGACCAUGUCUUACAGGCUAUACACAGACACUGAAUGAUUGGUAUGACCGGGAUAUUGAUGCAAUUAAUGAGCCCUAUCGCCCUAUUCCUUCAGGAGCUAUAACUGAGGGCGAGGUUAUAACCCAAAUCUGGGUGCUUCUUCUAGCAGGCCUUGGCUUGGGAGCUUUACUAGAUGUGUGGGCAGGGCACAAUUUUCCUAUUGUUUUUUACCUGGCUGUGGGAGGAUCUUUGCUUUCUUAUAUUUAUUCUGCUCCACCCUUGAAGCUCAAGCAAUUUGGAUGGAUUGGAAAUUUUGCUUUGGGGGCAAGCUACAUCAGCUUACCAUGGUGGGCAGGUCAGGCUCUAUUUGGGAAUCUCACCCCUGAUGUGGUUGUUCUCACACUCUUGUACAGCAUUGCUGGGCUUGGGAUUGCUAUUGUAAAUGAUUUUAAAAGUAUUGAAG
rnacentral:misc_RNA from 1 species